AAAUGAAUAGACGGGGGCCCGCACAAGCGGUGGAGCAUGUGGUUUAAUUCGAUGCAACGCGAAGAACCUUACCAGGGCUUGACAUCUUGCGAAUCCUGUGGAAACACGGGAGUGCCCAUAUGGGAGCGCAAAGACAGGUGGUGCAUGGUUGUCGUCAGCUCGUGUCGUGAGAUGUUGGGUUAAGUCCCGCAACGAGCGCAACCCUUGCCCUUAGUUGCCAGCACAUAUUGGUGGGCACUCUAAGGGGACUGCCGGUGACAAACCGGAGGAAGGUGGGGAUGACGUCAAAUCAUCAUGCCCUUUAUGCCCUGGGCUACACACGUGCUACAAUGGCCGGUACAGAGGGUAGCGAACCCGCGAGGGGGAGCCAAUCCCACAAAACCGGCCCAAGUUCGGAUUGCAGGCUGCAACCCGCCUGCAUGAAGUCGGAAUCGCUAGUAAUCGCGGAUCAGAAUGCCGCGGUGAAUACGUUCCCGGGCCUUGUACACACCGCCCGU
rnacentral:rRNA from 1 species